rnacentral:lncRNA from 1 species
GAUAAAGGUACAGUAUGCAAGAAAAGAUGGAGAAAUAUGUCGAUCUUUAAAAGGAAACAUGCGUAAACUCUUGAGGAAUAAAAUAACCAAACCAUCAGAGCCUCUCUCUUCUUUUGAAUCAGUUAAAGGAGGAAGACAAAAAUAGAAGAUCAAACUAGCCUAAUGCCCAUUGCAACAGAAAAUAUCCAACAAAUGGGUAGGUAAUGUCAUCUAAAUCAUUCAUACAAUCAAAAACAGUUAACUAAUAGAGAAUCAGUUGCUUUCAAAUCAGGCCUGAUGCUUAAUGACUAUUCCAUGCAGCAAAUCAGAGCUAACAUCUCUUAGCCCAAUUUACAAAGUUAAUGAAACCUAUGAAACACUAUAAAGCAAUAAUCACUUCCAAGCCUGUAUUAUUUAUUUAUUGGGUUUUGCUAGAAGCCACCCAUGAAGGUGUCUUUUAGCAACCCACACCUCAAGGUGUGAUUUCCACUUUUUAGUUAUAACUUUGCUAAAAGACACCUUCAUAAAAAUUAGUUGGUGUCUUUUAGCAAAUGCUUAUAGAAUAACUUGCUAAAAGACACCUUCAUAAAAGGUGUCUUCUAGCAAAACCCUUAUUUAUUAAUUUUGACAACCCUUCAAAGUCUAUAAACUUCCAUAAAUAAGAUACAUAAGCCCAAGAUUUAUUCACACGGUAAAACAAAAAGCAAUCAAGUUUUGGUAAACACUGCAUUAAGCCUUAAAAUUAUCUUGUUAAAGUGCAUACUUGGUAGCUCCAGGUAGAUGGAAUUAACAACUCAAUUUUCU